ACACACCGCCCGUCACACCAUGAGAGUUGGGAAUACCCGAAGCCUGUGAGCCAACUUUUAAAGAGGCAGCAGUCGAAGGUAGAAUCAAUGAUUGGGGUGAAGUCGUAACAAGGUACC
rnacentral:rRNA from 1 species